rnacentral:lncRNA from 1 species
UGGAUUGGACUAACCUUGUCAUGAGAUAGCCUCUACAAGCUUAUGCGUAGGAUAGCUGCCACGAGCUUAUGCGUGGGAUAGCCUCUACGAGCUUAUGCGUAGGAUAGCCUCCACGGGCUUACGCGUGGGAUAGCCUCUACGAGCUUAUGCGUAGGAUAGCCUCCACGGAUUUACGCGUGGGAUAGCUGCCACGAGCUUAUGCGUGGGAUUUGUGCAGUCUUGGACUGGGACAUGAACUUGGUUAGUCCAAAGCCAGAAGUGAAAAGUCUGAAAACUUGAGAAUCAGAGUAAUACGGGAAU